rnacentral:sRNA from 1 species
UCACCGGGGUCCACUCGUAAGGAUGAUGU